GUAGUGAAUAUCUUUAAGAAAGUGACAAACCAUUCCCUUACAUGGCUGUCUGAGAGAAUGGGAAAGCUGUUAUCAACUACUCCAUCAAGGUGAUUAAUUUAAACAACUGAACAAAUUUAAUAUGAAAGAAUGACAAGAAAGCCACAGUGGGUGCUAUUCAAAGCAGCCAGCUACCUAUUGGAGCUAUUGGAGCAACCUGUCCAGAUCCAGGAUUUUACCUUAAAGCUCUCCCACAACAUCCCUACAAUCAGGAUCCAGCCCUAAACUGAGAAAGGGGCAUGGUCCUGACUUGUUGGGCAAUUGGCAUGUAAAUAAUAAAUUGAAAUGCUCAGAA